GUGCAGGCAGCUUUGGAAAGACCCUCCAGGGUAUUCCCCCAGCUAAUUGGGCCCAAUACUGGGCUUUACCAGAUGCACAGAACCAAUCUCUAUACAAUCAGGUAGGAAAAGGUCCAUUCAUAAUUACACUAAGUGUAAUUCUGAAAAAAGUCAGUAGAUGGUGGCAACAUACCACCAUCUCCUGUGUUAAAUAGUAAAACCCAAUCAAUGUGCAAUGUCAGUCUGCAGAUGCCAAGACCAAUAAGGUAUUGCCAAGCAUAUUGAUUUACAGGACAGAAAUAUAAUUUAAGCUCUUUAUAAGUCAAUGGUAAGAUCUCAGCUUGACUCCCACCAUUGGCAUCCAGCCCACACGAGACAUCGGCAAAGUCGGAAUUGGAGCAGAUAUAACUGACGAAUACUCGGAAUGUUGAGCACAUUGAAUAAGGUCUGCAUUCAAACGACUGUUUUUAAGCACGGUAUUAAAUAUCAAUAAUGUUCUAAUAAAAAGAACCAUUUUUAACCAUAUUUUUCAAUUUCCUUUUGUCUUACAUACAGAGAUCUACUGGAAUUUUUGGAAAUACACCAGAACUUUGGACUAAUUGAAUGACUUUGAAAGAUUGUUAAAAAAGUAACUUUUCACUUUGCAAGACUUACCAUUUUUUGCUAAAUUAUUAUUAAUAUUGCCAUUUUAAUAGAGCCAACAGAUUCCGUAGCACUUUGCAAUAUUAUAAGAGGGGGGAUUUAUCUAUAAAUAGGACAAUUACAAG